rnacentral:rRNA from 1 species
AGAGUUUGAUCCUGGCUCAGAUUGAACGCUGGCGGAAUGCUUUACACAUGCAAGUCGAACGGUAGAGGGGGCAACCCCUUGAGAGUGGCGAACGGGUGAGUAAUAUAUCGGAACGUGCCCAGUCGUGGGGGAUAACGUAGUGAAAAUUACGCUAAUACCGCAUACGAUCUAAGGAUGAAAGCGGGGGAUCGCAAGACCUCGCGCGACUGGAGCGGCCGAUAUCAGAUUAGGUAGUUGGUAGGGUAAAGGCCUACCAAGCCAACGAUCUGUAGCUGGUCUGAGAGGACGACCAGCCACACUGGAACUGAGACACGGUCCAGACUCCUACGGGAGGCAGCAGUGGGGAAUUUUGGACAAUGGGCGAAAGCCUGAUCCAGCCAUUCCGCGUGCAGGAUGAAGGCCCUCGGGUUGUAAACUGCUUUUGUACAGAACGAAAAGGUUUCUAUUAAUACUAGGAGCUCAUGACGGUACUGUAAGAAUAAGCACCGGCUAACUACGUGCCAGCAGCCGCGGUAAUACGUAGGGUGCAAGCGUUAAUCGGAAUUACUGGGCGUAAAGCGUGCGCAGGCGGUUAUAUAAGUCAGAUGUGAAAUCCCCGGGCUCAACCUGGGAACUGCAUUUGAGACUGUAUAGCUAGAGUACGGUAGAGGGGGAUGGAAUUCCGCGUGUAGCAGUGAAAUGCGUAGAUAUGCGGAGGAACACCGAUGGCGAAGGCAAUCCCCUGGACCUGUACUGACGCUCAUGCGCGAAAGCGUGGGGAGCAAACAGGAUUAGAUACCCUGGUAGUCCACGCCCUAAACGAUGCUGACUAGUUGUUGGGAAUUUACAUUCUCAGUAA